rnacentral:rRNA from 1 species
AUUGAACGCUGGCGGCAUGCCUUACACAUGCAAGUCGAACGGCAGCAUGGAGAGCUUUCUUUCUGAUGGCGAGUGGCGAACGGGUGAGUAAUGCAUCUGAACGUACCGUGUAAUGGGGGAUAACGUAGCGACAGUUACGCUAAUACCGCCUACGACCUGAGGGUGAAGGCAGGGGAUCGCAAGACCUUGCGUUAUACGAGCGGCCGAUGUCAGAUUAGCUAGUUGGGGAGGUAAAGGCUCACCAUGGCGACGAUCUGUAGCGGGUCUGAGAGGAUGAUCCGCCACACUGGGACUGGGACACGGCCCAGACUCCUACGGGAGGCAGCAGUGGGGAAUUUUGGACAAUGGGGGCAACCCUGAUCCAGCCAUGCCGCGUGAGUGAAGAGGGCCUUCGGGUUGUAAAGCUCUUUCGGCCGGGAAGAAAUCGCACAGGCUAAUACUCUGUGUGGAUGACGGUACCGGCAUAAGAAGCACCGGCUAACUACGUGCCAGCCGCCGCCGUAA